rnacentral:rRNA from 1 species
ACUGGUGCCCCAAGCUGAGAAGGCUAAGGCGUGUCGGCAUAUGCUAGCUAAGGGAAUUCGGCAAAAUAGCCACGUAACUUCGGGAUAAGUGGUGCCUGCUUUGCAAGAAGCAGGUCGCAGCGACGAGGGGACUCUAACUGUCUGAUAACAACAUAGGUGAUUGCGAAUCCGUAAGGACUAGUACAAUCACUGAAUCCUGCCCAGUGCAGGUACCUGAAAACCCGGUUCAACGGGAAGAAGGGCCUGUCAACGGCGGGGGUAACAAUGACCCUCUUAAGGUAGCGUAGUACCUUGCCGCUUAAUUGGCGGCUUGCAUGAAUGGAUCAAUGAGAGUCCCACUGUCCCUAGCUGGUACCCGGUGAACCUUACGUUCCAGUGCAGAGUCUGGAGACCCCUAAUGGGAAGUGAAGACCCCGUGGAGCUUUACUGCAGCCUGCCGUUGGGUUGUGGUUUUGAUUGUAGAGCAUAGGUAGGAGACGUCGAAGCUCGGGCGCCAGUCCGAGUGGAGUCGCCCUUGGAAUACUACCCUUUCGAAGCUACCGCCCUAACUCUGAGAAGAGGACCUCGGUAGGUGGGCAGUUUGGGUGGGGCGCCACGCCCUUGAAAAGAUAUCAAGGGCGCCCUAAGGUUGACUCAGUUGGGUCGGAAACCCAACAAAGAGUGUAAAGGCAUAAGUCAGCCUGAUGUUACCUCGCAUAGCAAGAGGUGAUAAGACGAAAGUCAGGCUUAGCGAACCUCUCAGCUCUCUUGGUGAGAGCGUUAGAUGACAGAAAAGCUACCCCGGGGAUAACAGAGUCGUCACCGGCAAGAGCACAUAUCGACCCGGUGGCUUGCUACCUCGAUGUCGGUUCUUUCCAUCCUGGCCGUGCAGCAGCGGCCAAGGGUGAGGUUGUUCGCCUAUUAAAGGAGAUCGUGAGCUGGGUUUAGACCGUCGUGAGACAGGUCGGUUACUAUCUGUUAGGGGUGUAUUGCGGUCUGAGGGCAGGUUGGUUUUAGUACGAGAGGAACAAGCCAACGGCACCUCUGGUCUAUCGGCUGUCUGGCAAGGCACGCCGAGCAGCUACGUGCUCGCGGAUAAGGGCUGAAAGCAUCUAAGCCCGAAACCGUCCCUGAAAAGAGACCGCUUAGAGUACUCGUAAAAGACGAGUUUGAUAGAGCUGGUGUGUAAGCACCAAGGCAACGAGGUGUUCAGCUCGCAGCUACUAACAACUCCGCAGCC